CGCUGAGUUUGAGGACCGGAUUGAGCACAUUGUGCUGUGGGACAGCAGGAAUCAAGCAUCUGUGGUCGCGCUCACAUAUAUUAAACUGAUGCGCACUAAUGCGCACACUGGCACAUCUGACGCGCGCCUUGGUUACGCUUCUAUCAUGGUGGUACGCGUUUGAUUCGAGGAUUAUUAUUUUAGAAGACUCCGAUCGUGAGUAUAACGGACAUCUGCUGCAUUUAGCAGUUUGUAAUUUCCCCCUUGUGUGUUGUAUGAAAUCAUUGCUCUCCUCUUCGGACACCUCUUACGCAUUAGAAAGCUACUGAUAUCGCACAAGUUGGUAGUUGGAACUGAUUUUCGGACACGUCGUUUUGGAGAUUUCCAUCAGUCGGACGGUGGUCCUCUUGUAUGGAUGUAGUGACUCGGACUGAGUCGGACCGAUCCGGGGGUUCCAGACGCGCUUCCCCGAGAUUACCCAGCAGCAUCACCGUUCAACCGAGCGCAUCCAGCAGCAGUCGACAUGAUCCUUCUGGGAAUACUUCUAAAUCUGUUCGUCAUUAAGGGGGCUGUUCCGUCUGUGGUGCCAGUGUUCCCCGGGACUGUGGACUGCAUAGAGGCUGUACAGGAAUGUAUAAAGGACCCGGAGUGUAAGCGACAGUUCCGGCACCUGGAGUACUGUGUGGAUGAAGAGGCGGUGGCUCCCCUCAGUCUGGAGGGGCGGCAGGCCUGUGUCGACGCCCAGAACAACCUCAUGCACUAUCAGAGCCUGCAAGAAUGCAAGUGUCAGCGAGGGUCUCGCAUGGAACAUCAGUGCCUGAGCAUUUACUGGACCGUCCGUUUUCCACAGGGUUAUGAUGACAUUGAGACGUCCCCAUAUGAAGACAUUGAACUGGAACUUGUGAAAAAUAGCGAAACAUCAAAACUAGCCUCAAUAGUUUCAGUGUCCUCCCUUCCUCUGACGGAUCAGAACCAGUGUUUGAAAGCAGCUCAGGACUGUGGAUUGUACGAGAAGUGCGGGUCCCUGCGCUCUGAGUACGCGUUAGCAUGCACUAAGAUCAUUCCUGGCACGAACCACUGUAACCGGCACAAAUGUCACCGGGCCCUGCGGAGGUUCCUGGAGCGUGUUCCAGAGGAGUACAGUUUUGGUGUCUUAUUUUGUCCCUGUUCGGAUACACUGUGCGGGGAGAGAAGGAGAAAAACCAUUGUGCCCUCCUGUUCUUAUGAGGAGCGAGACGGACAGCCCAACUGCCUCAAUCUGGAGAGUUACUGUCUCAAAGACAACCUGUGCAGGUCAAGAUUGGCUGAUUUCCAGCAGAACUGUCAGCCGUCUUCUCUCUCUCCCUCCGGCUGUCUCCGGGAAAGUGGAGCUGUGUGCCUCAAGGCCUACGCUGGGCUCACCGGUACCAUCAUGACACCAAACUACGUGAGUAACAGCAGUACAGAGGUGUCGCAGUGGUGUAAUUGCGAAGGCAGCGGGAAUCAGUGGCAGGACUGCCUGCGUAUCCUGCACAUGUUCAACAGCAACACCUGCCUGCGUAAUGCCAUUGAUAACAUGGGAAGCUCCACCCCUCAUCCAGUAGAAGGCACGCCCCUUCCUCCACCUCGCCCCUCCCCUCAGGUCCAGCACGAUGAGCUGAAAAUUAACCUGUUGCCUGAACCCGGUGUGGUGAGUAGUGAACACAUUUCCUAAAACAACCACCACACAAUCAAACUCCUUCAUCUACAAUGCUAACUCAACGUAAUUCACACAGAAGAACCAUUUAUAAAGCUCCGCCCAUGUAUACUAGUUCCGUAUAAUCACAAUAAACCUGGUUCUUAUUCUUGUCGUAGCUUUGUGGUUAAUUCUGGCCUUUGAUACAUGAGAUUUGCAAAAAACGGCAGGCCCAGCAAACCCGCAGUCCUUGCGCUUUGAGCAUACUGAUGGAUCCGAGAACUGAACUGAAACGGUUAUGCACGGCUGAUUGUGUCACUGCAGAAACACACGGUCACACGGCAUCACUCUGCAGCCGCUACAAUGGUAAACAAAUGCCACAUGUACCUAAAGGGAACAGUGUGGGGUCGGAAUCAAACUGCCUGAACUGCCACCUUCAAUUCAAUCAGAAAUAAUCACACAACCCACAGGCCCUCAAGAACACAAUCAUGGUAAGGAAUUAAAUCUAUAUCGAAUUGCUCUGUCCUUUAGUCAGAUUAUAUUGUGCUUUGGAAUGAGGGUGUCAGCUUUAUUUUUCUUUCAUUAUGGCUGGCCGCCAAACUUUAAAUGACUCAGUGAGACUUAGUAGGCAGCGUCACUGAAUCAGAUCUUUAAUUU